rnacentral:tRNA from 1 species
GGGGGUGGAGCUCAGUGGCAAAGCACUUGCCCAGAUCACGUGAGACCCUGGGUUCAACCCCCAGCACUGCCA